ACUGAGUCUCAGCUUCGUGAAUCAGGUACAGGGCUAUUCAUAAUUCCUCUGUCGGUUUAGUGAUUUUGGAGCCUGCCAUUAUCCUGUAGGAGUCAUGGACAAUUCCGUCGAUUACCGCCGCCAUUCUCGUCACCGUUCUCGUUCCCCCUCCCGCUCCCGUUCGUAUUCGCCAAAAUAUCGUAGCCCUAGGAGGAGAAGAAGUCCCGAAGGCGACUACCAUCAAACCCUAAACUCCUUGCCGAAACGAUUUGGGAAGAGCAACCGAGAUUAUAAGAACGGAUACGAUUCGGUAUCGGAAUCUGAUGAGGAAUUGAAGGGGCUGAGCUACAUGGAGUACCGAUGGCAAAAGAGGCAGAAGAUGCGAAAGUCCAAGAAGCACUGUUUUUGGAAUGUGUCGCCGAGUCCGCCAAGGAAUGAGAAUGAUGAUUCGGAGGAUGAAAAGCUUGAUGAUAUUUGUGAUAGACGCGGAGGCGAUGAAGAGAAGGGGAAAAUUGAGUCUGAAAAAUCGGGGGCUUCUGAGUCUGAAUCGGACGAUUUGCAGGCUAAGAAGAAGGGGAGAAAGAAUAAAUCCGAGUCCGAGGAAUCAGAGAGUGGUGAGUUUGAUUCUGAUCCCGACUCUGAAUCCGAUGAUUCAAGGUCUAGGAAGAAGAAGAGAAAGAGUAGGAGUUCUAGGCGUAGAGGUAGGAAGUACAGUGAGUCGGAAGAUGAUGAGAGUGAUUCUGAAGAGGAGGAAGAUAGGAAAGGAAGGAGAAAGCGAAAUAGGUCACACAGGAGUAGUGAGAGAAGAAGAAGCAGUAAAAGAAAGAGAAGUAGAAGAAAGAGCAAGUAUAGUGAUUCGGAUGAGGGCAAGCUUGAGGAGAGCAAAACUGAUGAAUCCGAUGCCAGUCAGUCAUCAGAUGAUGAUAAUGAUAGAUCAAAGAAGAAGCUUUCUUUGAGUUCAAGGCCGAAACGGAGUAAGAAAGAACUUAAAUCUGAAACUGAGAGUGAUGAGAAUUCAGAUAAGGAGAAAGUGGAUGAGGCCAAGCAGGCUGAAAUCAAUGCUGAGGUACUUAAGUUCAAACAAAUGAUUGAAUCUCAGAAGAAACCUGCUUUGGAUAAUGAACCACUGGUGGGCCCAAUGCCGUUGCCUAGAGCUGAAGGGCAUAUUAGUUAUGGUGGUGCACUUAGGCCUGGAGAAGGUGAUGCCAUUGCUCAGUAUGUACAGCAAGGGAAGCGAAUUCCAAGAAGAGGUGAAGUCGGUUUGUCUGCGGAUGAAAUUCAGAAGUUUGAGAGUCUUGGGUUUGUGAUGAGUGGUAGUAGGCACCAGAGGAUGAAUGCUAUUCGUAUUAGGAAGGAAAACCAGGUUUAUAGUGCUGAGGACAAGCGAGCGCUGGCCAUGUUUAACUAUGAGGAGAAGGCAAAACGUGAGCAUAAGGUUAUGGCUGAUUUGCAACGACUGGUUCAGCGUCACAUUGGUCAGGAUGUUGGUCCUACCCACGAUCCUUUUGCUACAAAAGAUGGUGAAGAAACUUGAUGCGCAUGUUUCCUACUGGGGACAUCAUGAUCAUUGCUUUGAAAUUUGGAUGUGUCAUCUUAAACUAUUUGGCAUUAUACAUCACAACUUUAUUGUGACCUAGUGGUUGACAUUAUCUUUGUUUCACAACAAGCUGUAACUUUGAACUACAAAUGGAAUAAAGACUCAGUGUAUGGUCCAAAUGACAUUCGAAUGUAUUCCUAUCAUGCAGCUUUCACUUGGGUUGCUAUUCUUUUAAAUUGCUAGCAAAAAGGUGCAUACUAUAUAUUGUCUCUGGAUAACCUACCGCCACUGUCAGGGAAACUUUUACAUUUUUUUUUCAGUUCCAAAUCUCUAAGUUAUCUAGAGUUUGCCCCAGCUAGAUGCAGUUUAAGCUUUCCAAUUUGGGGUAUUUGAAUUUCAUGUUUCAGUGAUGAAGAGUGUGUUUUUGAAAACUAACGUAUACUAUAAAAUCUUGUGAAAUGAACUUGUAUAGAAUUGUUGCUUACUUUUA